rnacentral:misc_RNA from 1 species
AACGCAAAUUGCGCUCUCGGGAUAGGCCUGAGAGCACGCCUCUUUGAGUAUCGAUUCCACCCCCUCCAGAACAAAAUUUAUUUUUUUGUGCGCUGGGAGUAUGAGUGUUUCACCUUUGGGUGUCACUUGAAAAGGAAUGACUUUUUGGUUGAGUUGUGUCUUAGACUUGAACUAUUCGAGCAUCGAAAAAGCUUGAUGUGUUUUUGUUCUUUUCAUGUUGAUAAAUGUCAUCGUGUUGAGACGAAACUACGUCAAGUGACGCUAGGAUGGUUCUCUAUUGCUAAGAUGCGGUACUAUGACUCAACCCUGAAUUUUUAACAAAUCUAAGAAUUAGAUCUCAAAUGAAGCGAGACAACCCGCUGAACUUAA